rnacentral:rRNA from 1 species
AGAGUUUGAUCCUGGCUCAGGACGAACGCUGGCGGCGUGCUUAACACAUGCAAGUCGAACGGAAAGGCCCUGCUUGCAGGGUACUCGAGUGGCGAACGGGUGAGUAACACGUGGGUGAUCUGCCCUGCACUUCGGGAUAAGCCUGGGAAACUGGGUCUAAUACCGGAUAGGAGCCAUUUUUAGUGUGAUGGUUGGAAAGUUUUUUCGGUGUAGGAUGAGCUCGCGGCCUAUCAGCUUGUUGGUGGGGUAAUGGCCUACCAAGGCGGCGACGGGUAGCCGGCCUGAGAGGGUGGACGGCCACAUUGGGACUGAGAUACGGCCCAGACUCCUACGGGAGGCAGCAGUGGGGAAUAUUGCACAAUGGGCGCAAGCCUGAUGCAGCGACGCCGCGUGGGGGAUGACGGCCUUCGGGUUGUAAACUCCUUUCGCUAGGGACGAAGCUUUUUGUGACGGUACCUAGAUAAGAAGCACCGGCUAACUACGUGCCAGCAGCCGCGGUAAUACGUAGGGUGCGAGCGUUGUCCGGAAUUACUGGGCGUAAAGGGCUCGUAGGUGGUUUGUCGCGUCGUCUGUGAAAUUCCGGGGCUUAACUCCGGGCGUGCAGGCGAUACGGGCAUAACUUGAGUACUGUAGGGGUAACUGGAAUUCCUGGUGUAGCGGUGAAAUGCGCAGAUAUCAGGAGGAACACCGAUGGCGAAGGCAGGUUACUGGGCAGUUACUGACGCUGAGGAGCGAAAGCAUGGGUAGCGAACAGGAUUAGAUACCCUGGUAGUCCAUGCCGUAAACGGUGGGCGCUAGGUGUGAGGGUCUUUUCACGACUUUCGUGCCGUAGCUAACGCAUUAAGCGCCCCGCCUGGGGAGUACGGCCGCAAGGCUAAAACUCAAAGGAAUUGACGGGGGCCCGCACAAGCGGCGGAGCAUGUGGAUUAAUUCGAUGCAACGCGAAGAACCUUACCUGGGCUUGACAUACACCAGAUCGCUGCAGAGAUGUAGUUUCCCUUUGUGGCUGGUGUACAGGUGGUGCAUGGUUGUCGUCAGCUCGUGUCGUGAGAUGUUGGGUUAAGUCCC